rnacentral:rRNA from 1 species
UACGUAGGGUGCGAGCGUUAAUCGGAAUUACUGGGCGUAAAGCGUGCGCAGGCGGUUGUGCAAGACCGAUGUGAAAUCCCCGGGCUUAACCUGGGAACUGCAUUGGUGACUGCACGGCUAGAGUGUGUCAGAGGGGGGUAGAAUUCCACGUGUAGCAGUGAAAUGCGUAGAGAUGUGGAGGAAUACCGAUGGCGAAGGCAGCCCCCUGGCACGAUACUGACGCUCAGGUGCGAAAGCGUGGGGAGCAAACAGG